rnacentral:rRNA from 1 species
UACGUAGGGGGCGAGCGUUGUCCGGAAUUAUUGGGCGUAAAGGGCUCGUAGGCGGUUAGUCGCGUCGGGAGUGAAAACUCAGGGCUCAACCCUGAGCGUGCUUCCGAUACGGGCUGACUAGAGGUAUGCAGGGGAGAACGGAAUUCCUGGUGUAGCGGUGGAAUGCGCAGAUAUCAGGAGGAACACCGGUGGCGAAGGCGACUACCUGGCCUGUUCUUGACGCUGAGGCGCGAAAGCUAGGGGAGCAAACGGG